rfam:Alligator sinensis unplaced genomic scaffold scaffold37_1, whole genome shotgun sequence
UUCUAUGAAGCAGACCGGGCUGAUAGCACACGAUCCCGUCCGAUCUCGGAAGCUAAGCAGUCCUGGGCCCAGCUAGUACUUGGAUGGGAGACCGCCUGGAAAUCCCGGGUGCCGUAGGCC